UGGUCCUACGGGGCGCAGCAGUAGGGAAUCUUCCACAAUGGACGAAAGUCUGAUGGAGCAACGCCGCGUGAGUGAAGAAGGGUUUCGGCUCGUAAAGCUCUGUUGGGAGUGAAGAAAGAUAGAGGGAGUAACUGGCCUUUAUUUGACGGUAAUUACUUAGAAAGUCACGGCUAACUACGUGCCAGCAGCUGCGGUAAUACGUAGGUGGCAAGCGUUGUCCGGAUUUAUUGGGCGUAAAGCGAGUGCAGGCGGGUCAAUAAGUCUGAUGUGAAA
rnacentral:rRNA from 1 species